GACAGAGGGUGCAAACGUUGUUCGGAAUUACUGGGCGUAAAGCGCGUGUAGGCUGCUUCGCAAGUCGGAUGUGAAAGCCCUGGGCUCAACCCAGGAAGUGCAUUCGAAACUGCAGAGCUGGAGUCCUGGAGAGGAAGGCGGAAUUCUCGGUGUAGAGGUGAAAUUCGUAGAUAUCGAGAGGAACACCAGUGGCGAAGGCGAGUCCCUGGACAACACCUGACACUGAGGCACGAAAGCUAGGGGAGCAAACAGG
rnacentral:rRNA from 1 species